rnacentral:rRNA from 1 species
UAUGUGAUCGUCUCUCGCAUAUCAAUAAGCGGAGGAAAAGAAACUAACAAGGAUUCCCCUAGUAACGGCGAGUGAAGCGGGAAGAGCUCAAAUUUGAAAUCUUAAAGGGUUUCCCUUUACGAAUUGUAGUUUAAAGAAGUGUUUUCUGUUGAGGUUUUGGUAAAAGUUCUUUGGAAUAGGACAUCAUAGAGGGUGAGAAUCCCAGUAUUUGACCUUUACUUUCAACUUUGUGAUACACUUUCAAAGAGUCGGAUUGUUUGGGAAUGCAGUCCAAAAUGGGUGGUAAAUUUCAUCUAAAGCUAAAUAUUGGACGAGAGACCGAUAGCGAAACAAGUACCGUGAGGGAAAGAUGAAAAGAACUUUGAAAAGAGAGUUAAAACAGUACGUGAAAUUGUCAAAAGGGAAGCGUUUGACACCAGUGUUGUUUUUCUGAAAAUCAAUUAAAGAACUGUUUAUGCUAAGCUGUUUAGACUUUAUCAGCUAUCUGUUUAGUUUUGAGCUUUUCUUUAAUGCACUUUUCAGUUAACAAGUCAACAUCAAUUUCUUUUGCUGUAAAAAAGCUUGAGGAAGGUGGCUUGAGAUUCGUCUUAAGUGUUUAUAGCCUCUUGCCUAUGCAGUCGGAGAGAUUGAGGUCUGCAGCGUAGAUCCUUCGGGGCUAAAUGCAUUUGUGCUAAGUUAUAGCAUUUUAUAGACAACUUGUUGACUAUGAUUUGUCUUGUAGCUUACUCGCUUAUGUUAUUUUACCUACGCUUAGGAUGUUGAUCUCUCACAGUCGAGC